rnacentral:rRNA from 1 species
AUUGAACGCUGGCGGCAGGCUUAACACAUGCAAGUCGAGCGGAGAUGAGGUGCUUGCACCUUAUCUUAGCGGCGGACGGGUGAGUAAUGCUUAGGAAUCUGCCUAUUAGUGGGGGACAACAUUCCGAAAGGAAUGCUAAUACCGCAUACGCCCUACGGGGGAAAGCAGGGGAUCUUCGGACCUUGCGCUAAUAGAUGAGCCUAAGUCGGGUUAGCUAGUUGGUGGGGUAAAGGCCUACCAAGGCGACGAUCUGUAGCGGGUCUGAGAGGAUGAUCGGCCACACUGGGACUGAGACAAGGCCCAGACUACUACGGGAGGCAGCAGUGGGGAAUAUUGGACAAUGGGCGGAAGCCUGAUCCAGCCAUGCCGCGUGUGUGAAGAAGGCCUUUUGGUUGUAAAGCACUUUAAGCGAGGAGGAGGCUACCUGGAUUAAUACUCUAGGAUAGUGGACGUUACUCGCAGAAUAAGCACCGGCUAACUCUGUGCCAGCCGCCGCCGUAAGAC